UGAAAGUGAGACCGAUUCAGCUGAAGCUCUGAAUAGAGUUCAUCGCAUUUUGACUUUGAUCAAUUCCUGGAGUCCAUCCAUGUGCGUCUUGCAGUUUGCUGAUUGAUCUUCAGGUAUCUCAACGAGACGUUCGUUAUAUUGUGCAGACAGCGGAGCCUCUCAGAAUUGCUUUGUUGCAACCAGGUUAGCUAGCAACUAGUAAACUCUCAGUAACAAAAUGUAGAAUAUUGAUAACUCACAAGUAUUUGCAACAAACUGAUCCCAAUGUUCAAACCCAAAUAGAUAAUAAACUCACGACUGUUGAAAAAUUCGGUACAUGCAAUUCCAAAUUGGCUAGUGCACGGAUUUAGGUCCCGUCACCUGAAACGGCCGGAUUGCCGUCGAUCGACCGCCAGAAAACUCACGGCUUUGGGAGUGCGAUCCGCCGCCGUCGCCACGCGUGGGACGUCGCCGCCGCCGCCACUAUUGGACUCAGCGUGGUCAAAACCAUCAGACCGAAGCUUCCCGUCGCCGUCGGUUGACUUUCUGUUGCCGUUGACCGGCAAGGGCAUUUCGGUAAUUUCGUACAUCGAGGGUAAUUUCGUAAAUUCUGAAUUAAGGUUAUUUUCAUAAUUUGGAAUGAGGGUAGUUUUGUAAUUUGGUCAUCUAAGCUGUUGGGGGUAUUUAAAAUGUUGUUUGGAGCUAUUUUGCGUAACAAUUGUUAUAUGCUAAUUACGGAAAUUAAUUAUGUCGUUUAUUUAACUUAGGUGGAAUCACGAACGAGAAGUAAUCUGCGGAUGUUGACAAUAUCGAAUUUGAGCAUUAUCACUGUGAGUGAAAUAUAUAAAACUCAUUUUCAUAACUUAUUAUAAUAGUAAAACAUGUUUGUGAAAUAAGUAAGGGAAAUUAUCAGUCAUAUACCCUUAAAUGACACCAGUAUCAAACGCGCUACAACACUUUUUGUUUAUAUCACUCGUAUACCCUAAGUUGACAAAAGAGUUAUGGCGUCCACCUUUCCGUUUACUACCGUUAAGAACUUAACCGAAUUUGAGCAAAAUGAUUAUUUUACCUUUUAAACUCAAAAUGAGGUAAAAAAAUUAAUUUACCUUGAAAAUUAAUGUGAAUUUUCAAUACACAAUUUUUAUUUUUUUAAUUAAAAAAUAUGAAUUAUUAAUGGUACAUAUUAUUGACAAUUAUCCAUAAAAAAAUAUUCAUCUUAUACUAUAAAAAAUUAUUAACAACAUAUUAUUUAUAAUUAUACAUAUUAUACCAUAAAAAAUUCAAGUCUGAGCUUGGAGGAGUAGAUUUUCAAUAAUUUAGGUUAAAUUUUAGAGGAGUAUAUUCGGUUGUAAAGUAGUUUUUUUUAGCAAUUAUUAAUAAUUAUCUGAUAAAUGAGAUGACAUGUCAUUUUUAUCAAAAUAUAUCAUAUGACAUGUCGUUUUUUACUAGGUAAAUGGGAUGACAUGUCGUUUUAAAAAAAAAAACUAGAUUACCCUUAUGAUGUCAGCGCUCGCAAACGGCAGUUAACGGAUCGGUGGACGGCAGAAGUGUUUUGUUAACUUAGGGUAUACGAGUGAUACACUUGAAAAGUGUUGUAGCACGUUUGAUACUGGUGUCAUUUAAGGGUAUAUGGCUGAUAAUUUCCCAAUAAGUAAUUUAAAUACUCGGAUUUAAUGAUUUUCUCGAGAUAAAUUUUAUUUACGUAUUGAUAUGUUAUUAAAAAGUGUUUGUUAAUGAUUUUCUAUAUCGAUUUUGAAUAACACAUGAUAGUAUUUUAAAGACAAGAAAAGUGAAUUUAAAUGUUUUAAUAAAAAAAAGUAUGAUUAAUGUGCUCUGAUACCAAUUAUUGCGGAAACGCGGGUUGAACAAUUACUAAUAUUAUGGUGAUUGCGAUUUCUGAGGAAAUAUAAAUGUGACAAAUAAAUGUAAAAUAUGACACAAUAAUUUACGUGGUUCGACGUAAAGCUUACGUCCACAGAUAAAGACUGAAAGAUAAUUUUACUAAUAAAUGUGAAUUUACAAAAUUAAGAAAAACUCUCAAAACCCAAAAUUUCAAUACACUCAAUGGAUCCUCUUUAAAACACUAAAGUAGAAGCUCUCUCAAAUAUCUUAAAUUACUUCACUUGUAAUUGCUCUCAACUUUCUCAAUUGGGAUACAUUUGAAACUCUUCAUCUCCUCUCUAUUUAUAGGAAAAAAUAGGUGUAUUAUUGCACUAACUCCAACAAUUUUGUCAACAAAAAUUAGGUGCCUAACUUAGUAACUAAUUUUGAAUGCAUGCAUUAGUCAAUUUUGAAUUCAUAUAUUGAAUUUUUCAACAAUUCUCUACUUCGACAAAAAAUUGUUUAAAUCUGAAUCGACUAUCGACAUACUCUCCUCCAGUCUAUGCCUUCUUCGACUGCUUUCAAACUUAUAGGAUAUUGAUAAAGUUUGGACAAUACUUAAACUUGAUCGCUGUCACUACCUUGGUCAACAUAUUUACGAGAUUCUCUACAGUCUUGAUUUUCUAUAGAAGAAUCUUUCCCUUAGCUAUAUUUUCUCGCACAAAAUGAAAUCGUACGUUGAUAUGUACGUGCAUGAUAAACUUAGUUCUUUGUUAAGUGAAUAGCAAUUUGACUGUCGCAAUACACAUUAAUAUGCUCCUGUACAAAUCCCAAGUUUUCAAGUAUUACAUUAAUGAUAAACUUAGUUCUUUGUUAAGUGAAUAACAAUUUGACUGUCGCAAUACAUAUUAAUGUGCUCUUGUACCAAUCCCAAGUUUUCAAGUAUUACAUUAAUGUGCAUGUUUUUGGUAAUCCUGCUACUGAUUAUGAUUCUUUACAUGUUUUUGAUUCCACUGCUUAUUAUCAUGUAAACGAGUCUAAGUUAGACUUGAGAGUAAAGAAAACAUUGUUCAUGGGUAUAACUGGUGGAGUAAAAGGAUACCGUCUUUGGUGUCCAGUUACAAAGAAGAUUAUUUUCAGCAAAUAUAUGACUUUUGAUGAAUCGGCCAUGCUGAAACAAAAUAUUCACAAAAGGAUGACAAAACCAGUGGUACUUUUCAGCAUGUAGAGUUUGAAAAGGUUAAAAAUGAUUCAAUUGGAAUCGGUGAGACAAAUAAUAAUUCUCCAUUGACCAAAGAUGAUAAAGAGUUUUUGACUUAAGAACCUUUAUAGCAACAAGAUUCAAUUGCAUAUAGAAGGUCACACAGAGGAUUUGUAAGCUUGCAUACUUUGUUGAUAUGGUGGCCUAUGCACUUUCAGUUGUAGAUGAUGAUGUUCAUUCCACUUACAAAGAAGCAGUAAGUAGUCCUGAAAGUAGAUAAUGGAAGCUAGCAAUUGAUAAAGAAAUGCAGUCUCUUCAUAAAAAUGAAACUUAGGAGUUGGUUACACUGCUUAAGGAAUAUAAGGCAAUUUAGUGCAAAUGGGUAUAUGCGAAAGAAAGAUUUCCUCAUACAAAUGAAAUUUGAUAUAAGACUAGAUUGAUAGAGAGAGGUUACACUCAGGAAGAAAGAAUAGACUACAAUGAAGUAUUUUCUCCAGUUGUGAAACACUCAUCUAUUCAAAUUUUACUAGCUAUAGUUGCACAAUUUGAUCUUAAACUAGUUCAUCUUGAUGUAAAAACUGCAUUUUUACAUAGGGAUUUGGAAGAAAAAAAUCUACAUGACUCAACCAAAUGGAUUCAAGUUUGUUGGAAUAGAAAAUUGGAUUUGCAAAUUGACAAAGUCGCUGUAUGGAUUGAAAUAAUCUCUGAAGCAGUGGUAUAAGUUAGGGGUGGCAAAGUGAGUAAACAAAUCGAAUUCGAAUCGAAUCAUAAACGAGUUGGGUCAAAAUUCUACUGAUUCGAAUUCGAUUCGUUUAUUAAACGAAUUGAAAUAUCAGAAUUUGGAUUCGAUUCGUUUAUUAAAUUAAUAUUCAGUUCGAUUCGUUUAAUUCGUUUAGUAGAAUUAAUAAACGAACUAAAUCGAAUACAUAUUUGUUUAUUAUUUAUUUAUCCUAUUACGAAUUCAUUACGAAUCGAAUUGAAUUAUGAUUUGUUUAUAAUUCGUUUAGAAAAAUAUAAUUAAUUGACAAAAUUAAGCAAAAUAAAAUAUAAAAAAGCCACAAAUUUAAUAUCCUACGACAAAAUACAAACAACUCAAACCAUAUUUUAGGAUUAAAUAUAUAGUCAUCCAAAUACCAAAUUAUAAAUCCUUAAUAAUAUAAAUAACUUACAAAUUUUAAAAAAAUUUCAAAUAAAUUUAAUGAAAAAAAGUAAUUUAAUUAAACGAAUAAUAAACGAAUUUAAAACAAAUCAACCUGUAUUCAAUUCGUUUAUGACAUUUUUAUUAAACGAAUCCUAAACGAAUAAACAAAUUGAUAUCUUCAAACCUGGAUUCAAUUUGUUUAAUUAGUGAAUCAAAUUGAAUUCACCAUUUUAUUAAACGAAUCAAUUUUUUCAAAUCCAAACCCAUUUAAUUCGCAUCGAGUCGAAUCAAAUAUACGAAUUCUAACCCAUAUUACCACCCCUAGUAUAAGCGAUUUGAUUAGUUUAUGAAAAUGCAAAGGUACAAGAGAAAUAAAAUUGAUCAUUGUGUGUAUUUUCAUAAGCUACAAGAGGAAUCAUUCAUAUAUUUGCUCUUGUAUGUUGAUGAUAUACUAAAGCAUCCAAGGAUAAAAAUGAGAUUGAGAAGUUAAAGACAAGACUCAAUCAAGAAUUUGAGAUAAAAGAUCUAAGUGAAGUUAAAAAGAUUCUUAGCAUGGAGAUAUGCAAAGAUAGAGCUCGUGGCAAAAUCAGCUUGUUUCAGAAGCAAUAUUUAAAGAAGAUACUACAACAGUUUGACAUGACUGAGCAGACAAAAUCUGUCAGUGCUCUGCUUCUCAUUUCAGGCUUUCUGCACAAUUGUCUCCUUCAACAGAUGCAGAACGAUAAUAUAUGUUACAAGUUCCGUAUUCAAAAGCAGUGGGUGGCUUAAUGUAUGUAAUGGCGUGAACAAGGCCUGACAUUUCACAUGCAAUUAGUAUAGUGAGCAGGUAUAUGCAUAAUCUUGGUAAAGGACUUGUCAAGCUGUGAAAUGGAUUUUGUGGUACAUUUAGAAGAUUGUAGAUGUUGGUUUACUGUUUGAGCGAGAUGAUACACUUGGUCAAGGUGUGAUUGAGUACAUCAAUUUUGAUUAUGUUGGUGAUUUGGACAAAUGGCGAUCAACCACUUUAUAUGUAUUUACUUUUUCUAGAGGACCAAUCAGUUGGAAGUCUAUACUACACUCUACAGUUGCACCGUCGACCACAUAGGUUGAGUACAUGGCAAUUACAGAGGCUAUUAAAAAUGCUAUUUGGUUAUAAGGCUUGCUUGAAAACUUGGGAUUGGUACAAGAGCACAUUAAUGUGUAUUGCGACAGUCAAAGUGCUAUUCACUUAACAAAGAACCAAUUUUAUCAUGCACAUACCAAAUAUAUCAACAUACGAUUUUACUUUGUGCGGGAAAUUAUAGAUAAGGGGAAAAUUCUUUUAUAGAAAAUUAAAACUGCAGAGAAUGUUGCAGAUAUGUUGACCAAGGUAGUGAUGACGAUUAAGUUUGAGCAUUGUCUAAACUUGAUCAAUAUAUUAUAAGUUUGAAAGCAGUCGGAGAAGGCAGAGAUUGUAAGAUAGUUUGUCGAUAGUCAACUUAGAUUUGAACAAAUUUUUGUCGAGGUAGAGAAUUAUUGAAAAAUUCAGUACAUGAAUUCAAAAUUGGCUAAUGCAUACAAUUGACAAACAUUUAUUCAAAUUGAAAAAAAAAAUUACAUGCAUGCAUUCAAAAUUAGUUGCUAAGUUAAGCAUCUAAUUUUUGUUGACAAGAUUUUUGGAGUUGGUGCAAUAAUAAUGCACUUAUUUUUUCCUAUAAAUAGAGAGGAUAUGAGCUUCAAAUGUAUCCCAAUUGAGAGCGUUGAGAGCAAUUGCAAGUGAAAUAAUUUGAGAGAUUUAAAAGAGCUUCUACUUGAGUGCUCUAGUGAGGAUUCAUUUAGGUGUAUUGAGCUUUGGGUUUUGAGAGUUUUUUUCAAUUUUAUAAAUUCUCAUUUGUUAGAAAAAUUAUCUUCCAUUCUUUGUCAGUGGGCUUAGGUUUUAUGUUAAAUCACGUAAAUUAUUAUGUUUUAUUUUUUACAUUUAUAUUUCUUCAGAAUUCACAAUCACCAUAAUAUUGGUAAUUACUCAAUCCGCACCUCUGUAAGAACAACUAGUGGAAAAGGAUCCCUACAAAAUAAAUCAUAGGAAAGAGGAAACUGAUAACCAACUUACAAUACUAUUUGUACCCUCUGUAUCACAUAUAGUCCAUCCUUUUUAGUAUCAGUCUUCUCUCCAUUUUCCUUCAUCUGAAUAACAUGAAACAAAGGCCCCAAAAUUUCGGAAUCAAAUAAAACAUAUAAUACCUAUGCAAAGAAACUGCGUGAGACCGGUGACAUUAAAUUGAAAGAUAGCCAGUCUAGAUCAAGGAUUUUUAUGACUUGUUUCAUUUAUUUAUUUUCCAAAGGGAAGCAAACGGCGUACAGUUUCUUUUGGGAUGGUCAGUAUAAAUAUUUACCUCAUCUU
rnacentral:lncRNA from 1 species